rnacentral:rRNA from 1 species
ACGAACGCUGGCGGCACGCUUAACACAUGCAAGUCGAACGAGAGAAGAGGAGCUUGCUUUUCUGAUCUAGUGGCGGACGGGUGAGUAACACGUGAGCAAUCUGCCUUUCAGAGGGGGAUACCGAUUGGAAACGAUCGUUAAUACCGCAUAACAUAAUUGAACCGCAUGAUUUGAUUAUCAAAGAUUUAUCGCUGAAAGAUGAGCUCGCGUCUGAUUAGCUAGUUGGUAAGGUAACGGCUUACCAAGGCGACGAUCAGUAGCCGGACUGAGAGGUUGAUCGGCCACAUUGGGACUGAGACACGGCCCAGACUCCUACGGGAGGCAGCAGUGGGGAAUAUUGCACAAUGGAGGAAACUCUGAUGCAGCGAUGCCGCGUGAGGGAAGAAGGUUUUAGGAUUGUAAACCUCUGUCUUCAGGGACGAAAAAAGACGGUGCCUGAGGAGGAAGCUCCGGCUAACUACGUGCCAGCAGCCGCGGUAAUACGUAGGGAGCGAGCGUUGUCCGGAAUUACUGGGUGUAAAGGGAGCGUAGGCGGGAUCGCAAGUCAGAUGUGAAAACUAUGGGCUUAACCCAUAAACUGCAUUUGAAACUGUGGUUCUUGAGUGAAGUAGAGGUAAGCGGAAUUCCUAGUGUAGCGGUGAAAUGCGUAGAUAUUAGGAGGAACAUCAGUGGCGAAGGCGGCUUACUGGGCUUUAACUGACGCUGAGGCUCGAAAGCGUGGGGAGCAAACAGGAUUAGAUACCCUGGUAGUCCACGCCGUAAACGAUGAUUACUAGGUGUGGGGGGACUGACCCCUUCCGUGCCGCAGCAAACGCAAUAAGUAAUCCACCUGGGGAGUACGACCGCAAGGUUGAAACUCAAAGGAAUUGACGGGGGCCCGCACAAGCAGUGGAGUAUGUGGAUUAAUUCGAAGCAACGCGAAGAACCUUACCAGGUCUUGACAUCGUAUGCAUAGCUCAGAGAUGAGUGAAAUCUCUUCGGAGACAUAUAGACAGGUGGUGCAUGGUUGUCGUCAGCUCGUGUCGUGAGAUGUUGGGUUAAGUCCCGCAACGAGCGCAACCCUUACUGUUAGUUGCUACGCAAGAGCACUCUAGCAGGACUGCCGUUGACAAAACGGAGGAAGGUGGGGAUGACGUCAAAUCAUCAUGCCCCUUAUGACCUGGGCCUCACACGUACUACAAUGGCUGUCAACAGAGGGAAGCAAAGCCGCGAGGUGGAGCAAACCCCUAAAAGCAGUCUUAGUUCGGAUUGUAGGCUGCAACCCGCCUACAUGAAGUCGGAAUUGCUAGUAAUCGCAGAUCAGCAUGCUGCGGUGAAUACGUUCCCGGGCCUUGUACACACCGCCCGUCACGCCAUGGGAGUCGGUAACACCCGAAGCCUGUAGUCUAACCGCAAGGAGGACGCAGUCGAAGGUGGGAUUGAUGACUGGGGUG